rnacentral:rRNA from 1 species
UACGGAGGAUGCGAGCGUUGUCCGGAUUUAUUGGGUUUAAAGGGUGCGCAGGCGGCACGGCAAGCCGGCGGUCAAAUCGCGGGGCUCAACCCCGCCCAGCCGUCGGAACUGCCGGGCUAGAGUGGGCGAGAAGUGCGCGGAAUGCGUGGUGUAGCGGUGAAAUGCAUAGAUAUCACGCAGAACUCCGAUUGCGAAGGCAGCGCACCGGCGCCCUACUGACGCUCAGGCACGAAAGCGUGGGUAUCGAACAGG